UACGGGAGGCAGCAGUGGGGAAUAUUGCACAAUGGGCGCAAGCCUGAUGCAGCCAUGCCGCGUGUAUGAAGAAGGCCUUCGGGUUGUAAAGUACUUUCAGUCGUGAGGAAGGUGUUAAGGUUAAUAACCUUAGCAAUUGACGUUAGCGACAGAAGAAGCACCGGCUAACUCCGUGCCAGCAGCCGCGGUAAUACGGAGGGUGCGAGCGUUAAUCGGAAUUACUGGGCGUAAAGGGCACGCAGGCGGUUAAUUAAGUUGGAUGUGAAAUCCCCGGGCUUAACCUGGGAAUGGCAUUCAAGACUGGUUAGCUAGAGUCUUGUAGAGGGGGUAGAAUUCCGAUGUGUAGCGGUGAAAUGCGUAGAGAUGUGGAGGAAUACCGGUGGCGAAGGCGGCCCCUGGACAAAGGCUGACGCUCAUGUGCGAAAGCGUGGGGAGCAAACAGGGAUUAGAUACC
rnacentral:rRNA from 1 species